UACAGAGGGUGCAAGCGUUAAUCGGAAUUACUGGGCGUAAAGCGUGCGCAGACGGUUAUAUAAGUCGGGUGUGAAAGCCCCGGGCUCAACCUGGGAAUUGCAUUCGAGACUGUGUAGCUAGGGUACGGAAGAGGGAAGCGGAAUUCCAGGUGUAGCGGUGAAAUGCGUAGAUAUCUGGAGGAAUACCGGUGGCGAAGGCGGCAUCCUGGACCGGCAUUGACGCUGAGGAGCGAAAGCUAGGGGAGCAAACGGG
rnacentral:rRNA from 1 species